rnacentral:rRNA from 1 species
CAGGCUUAACACAUGCAAGUCGAGGGGCAGCAUGGUCUUAGCUUGCUAAGGCCGAUGGCGACCGGCGCACGGGUGAGUAACACGUAUCCAACCUGCCGUCUACUCUUGGACAGCCUUCUGAAAGGAAGAUUAAUACAAGAUGGCAUCAUGAGUCCGCAUGUUCACAUGAUUAAAGGUAUUCCGGUAGACGAUGGGGAUGCGUUCCAUUAGAUAGUAGGCGGGGUAACGGCCCACCUAGUCUUCGAUGGAUAGGGGUUCUGAGAGGAAGGUCCCCCACAUUGGAACUGAGACACGGUCCAAACUCCUACGGGAGGCAGCAGUGAGGAAUAUUGGUCAAUGGGCGAGAGCCUGAACCAGCCAAGUAGCGUGAAGGAUGACUGCCCUAUGGGUUGUAAACUUCUUUUAUAAAGGAAUAAAGUCGGGUAUGGAUACCCGUUUGCAUGUACUUUAUGAAUAAGGAUCGGCUAACUCCGUGCCAGCAGCCGCGGUAAUACGGAGGAUCCGAGCGUUAUCCGGAUUUAUUGGGUUUAAAGGGAGCGUAGAUGGAUGUUUAAGUCAGUUGUGAAAGUUUGCGGCUCAACCGUAAAAUUGCAGUUGAUACUGGAUAUCUUGAGUGCAGUUGAGGCAGGCGGAAUUCGUGGUGUAGCGGUGAAAUGCUUAGAUAUCACGAAGAACUCCGAUUGCGAAGGCAGCCUGCUAAGCUGCAACUGACAUUGAGGCUCGAAAGUGUGGGUAUCAAACAGGAUUAGAUACCCUGGUAGUCCACACGGUAAACGAUGAAUACUCGCUGUUUGCGAUAUACUGCAAGCGGCCAAGCGAAAGCGUUAAGUAUUCCACCUGGGGAGUACGCCGGCAACGGUGAAACUCAAAGGAAUUGACGGGGGCCCGCACAAGCGGAGGAACAUGUGGUUUAAUUCGAUGAUACGCGAGGAACCUUACCCGGGCUUAAAUUGCAGAUGAAUUACGGUGAAAGCCGUAAGCCGCAAGGCAUCUGUGAAGGUGCUGCAUGGUUGUCGUCAGCUCGUGCCGUGAGGUGUCGGCUUAAGUGCCAUAACGAGCGCAACCCUUGUUGUCAGUUACUAACAGGUUCCGCUGAGGACUCUGACAAGACUGCCAUCGUAAGAUGUGAGGAAGGUGGGGAUGACGUCAAAUCAGCACGGCCCUUACGUCCGGGGCUACACACGUGUUACAAUGGGGGGUACAGAGGGCCGCUACCACGCGAGUGGAUGCCAAUCCCCAAAACCUCUCUCAGUUCGGACUGGAGUCUGCAACCCGACUCCACGAAGCUGGAUUCGCUAGUAAUCGCGCAUCAGCCUCGGCGCGGUGAAUACGUUCCCGGGCCUUGUACACACCGCCCGUCAAGCCAUGGGAGCCGGGGGUACCUGAAGUGCGUAACCGCGAGGAGCGCCCUAGGGUAAAACUGGUGACUGGGGCUAA